GAAGCAUGAGACCCUCCUUUCGGAACCCACCGGAGCCGUAGCGAAAGCGAGUCUUAAUAGGGCGAUUGUCACUUCUUAUGGACUCAAACCUGGGUGAUCUAUCCAUGACCAGGAUGAAGCUUGGAUGAAACUAAGCAGAGGUCCGAACCGACUGAUGUUGAAGAAUCAGCGGAUGAGUUGUGGUUAGGGGUGAAAUGCCACUCGAACCCAGAACUAGCUGGUUCUCCCCGAAAUGCGUUGAGGCGCAGCAGUUGACUGGACAUACUAAAAAGUGCCGGAAGGAGAAAGU
rnacentral:ncRNA from 1 species